GACGGAGGGUGCUAGCGUUGUUCGGAAUUACUGGGCGUAAAGGGCGCGUAGGCGGUCUCGUCAGUCGGGUGUGAAAGCCCGGGGCUCAACCCCGGAACGGCACCCGAGACGGCGGGACUGGAGACCGGGAGAGGAGGGUGGAAUAGCCAGUGUAGAGGUGAAAUUCGUAGAUAUUGGCUGGAACACCGGUGGCGAAAGCGGCUCUCUGGCCCGGUUAUGACGUUGAGGCGCGAAAGCGUGGGGAGCAAACAGG
rnacentral:rRNA from 1 species